UACGUAGGGUGCGAGCGUUGUCCGGAAUUAUUGGGCGUAAAGAGCUUGUAGGCGGUUUGUCGCGUCUGCUGUGAAAAUCCGGGGCUCAACCCCGGACUUGCAGUGGGUACGGGCAGACUAGAGUGUGGUAGGGGAGACUGGAAUUCCUGGUGUAGCGGUGAAAUGCGCAGAUAUCAGGAGGAACACCGAUGGCGAAGGCAGGUCUCUGGGCCACUACUGACGCUGAUGCACGAAAGCUAGGGGAGCAAACAGG
rnacentral:rRNA from 1 species